GCUCCUCCCCCGCCUCCCCCUCCUCUCCGAAACGGGCACUCCUCCUCCGUCCCUCGCUCGUUUGCGGAUGAUUUUGAGUCCAAGUACUCGUUCCAUCCUCUGGACGACUUCCCUCCUCCGGACGAGUACAGACACUUCACCAAGAUCUACCCGAGCAAGGCCAACAGAGUGAUGCGAGGAGCUCCUCCCCUUCCUCCGGUCGGGAGGUGAACCAGGAAGAUCACACCCUGGACCACACACACACAGAGACACACACACACACAGAGACACACACACACACACAGAGACACACACACACACACACACACACACACACACAGGCCGCUUUGUCUGUCAACCUGUAGCAGCAGGCAGGCCCAGUUGCUAUAGCAGCCGGUAAACACGGACGCUUUCCUCCAAUCAUACUGCGGUGACAUCACACUGCUGCUUUAUCAAGAUGGGACGGUCCAACAGGAAGUCAGGAGGUGAAACCAAAAAGAGAACAGAGAGGGGUGUGUCACCGAGACUGACCCAGGCUGCAGAUAACGCACACAGAUCAAUACCAGCACACACUUCCUGUUCUGAUCAGACGUGGAGGUCAGAGGUGAAAGGCUGCACUUUGACACCUAAAGGUUCAACUCCUCCUCAGAUGUUGCACAAACUUAAUUCAACUGUUUCCUGACUUAAAUAAAGGUAAUCGAAUAUAUCACUUAACGAAGACACGGAACUCUUCAGAUUACAAAUGUUCUGAGAGACCUGUGCUUGCCCCGAUGUUGAUGUGACACACAUAUAAUCAACUCUGUGCAGCUUUGCCGCAGUUCUGCAAAACGUGAUUAUGGAGGGAGAACAUGCGUCCUCCUUACAUCAGGGAAGCAGCACAAACCAGUGAUGGAGAAGUAAACAAGAGAAUAUUUGUUAUAUUUGCAUGAUGAUAAAAUAUUUGCUGCUCCAGCAGCUGUUCAGGCUUGAUGGGAAGAUUUGUUGGACAUGCAGUCAGAGGGGUUUACCCUGUGCAGACC